rnacentral:tRNA from 1 species
UCCCUGGUGGUUCAUACGGUAAAGCGUCUGUCUGCAAUGCAGGAGAGCCGGGUUCGAUCCCUGGUAUGGGAA